GACGAACGCUGGCGGCAUGCCUAAUACAUGCAAGUCGAGCGGAGUUGAUAGGAAGCUUGCUUCCUUGAUACUUAGCGGCGGACGGGUGAGUAACACGUAGGCAACCUGCCCUCAAGUUUGGGACAACUACCGGAAACGGUAGCUAAUACCGAAUARUUGUUUUCUUCGCCUGAAGGRAACUGGAAAGACGGAGCAAUCUGUCACUUGGGGAUGGGCCUGCGGCGCAUUAGCUAGUUGGUGAGGUAACGGCUCACCAAGGCGACGAUGCGUAGCCGACCUGAGAGGGUGAUCGGCCACACUGGGACUGAGACACGGCCCAGACUCCUACGGGAGGCAGCAGUAGGGAAUCUUCCGCAAUGGGCGAAAGCCUGACGGAGCAAUGCCGCGUGAGUGAUGAAGGUUUUCGGAUCGUAAAGCUCUGUUGCCAGGGAAGAACGCUUGGGAGAGUAACUGCU
rnacentral:rRNA from 1 species